ensembl:lncRNA
GGGGGGGGUGGGCAGGUCAACCUCUAAUCUUAUUAUGAACAGAGAGCACUACCACUGCACACUGACCCCCAACUCCCCCUUCUGUUCACCCCAACUAACCCAGGCCUUAAACCCCACCCGUCCACGCAGGCAACUUCAAGAACCCCACCAGGGCCAAAGAGCAUUCCUGUGAAUCUACAACGAGGGGAUCUGAGAGAGACCAUUUGUAAGGGAGGCUGGAUAGUGAUGAGUGUCAUGUGGUAGAAAAUAAGAAGAGAGAAGUGCGCGGUGCAGUUAAUUAGUUUGCAUUUGAACUGUUGCACCACCUAAAGCCAAGCGGAGGGUCUCUGCUUUGGAAAGGUCCCCGGGGGGAUUACAACACACAAAUAACUGAUUUACAGUAAAUACAACCACUGAGGUUAUGCAAAUCACAAUGAACACAAAGUAGAUACGGUACUUGGGCCACAAUAAAUGUUGAAUCAUUGUUCAGUGGUCACGUAGAAAGCAUUUUUUAGGACUUAAAGUACUGUGGUCUGAAAAAUGUUCCCGUCAGCACCUCAGUGUUACUUUUCCAUCCAAAAGGGAUCAGAUUAUGUGGCACUUUGUCAUGUGAUGCUUUUAAGUGCAACAAUUCCCAUGUGUUCUCCCUGUUAUUGACAUGCAUGUUGGAGGAAGAACUCCUGGCUGGGAGCGCAGCUGUUUAUGUAUUUCCUUUUUAUAUUAAUAGUUGAAUAAAUUCAUCAGCGGUGGAAAGUAAGUCACUUUUACUUCUGUGCUGAUUUCGUUUUUAUAUUUUGGACAGUUACUUUUCAGAUAAAUGUUCAUUAAUGUAAUGAAUUAAUGUCUCGGUAGAGAUACAGAGACCAGGAGGUAAAGCUACCGGUUUGCCCACAUUUAGUGAAUAUAAACCUGUGAUGACUGAAUAAAAGAGUUCUGCUGAUUUAGUGACUUUCAUAUUUGUAUAAUGUCCAAAGGAAAUGUGCUAUUGCAGCCGUUGUUUGCUUUUCAAAUAAAAACUACUUGCAUCAGCAUUGAAGUUAUAGUCAUGACUCAAAAUAGUAAGUUGAUAUGUUAGUUUUAGGUGUGUUAAGCUAACAUGCGUUUUCAGUUCACCCAAUUAACUUGUACCAUUUAACCUUUUAGAGCUCCCAAUUGAAGCUGGGUUUCAAUUUCAAUUGAAGCUACUACGGCUUUAUUGUUAGCAAGUCCCUAACAAUAACAUUCAACCACAAAUCAUGAUAAUAAUCAUACACUUAGUUUCAUACACUAAAUUCAAUGUAUACUGUAAAAUCUACUUGUCAGUUUGUACCGUUGCGCAAAAUCUCCUGAAAGUCUCUGAUUGAAAAAUGUGUUAGAUUCAACUAAUCCCGAUUAAACUUUCUCACUUUAGGUUUGUUACUCUUGGUUUAGGUAUGUUAUGAUUGGUUUAGGCAUGUUACGCUUAAUUUAGGUAUGUUAUACUUGGUUAAGGUAUGUUAUACUUCGUUUAGGUAUGUCGAUUUAUAAUUUUUUUUAGGUAUGUGUAACUAUGGAUCAAUAAGAGAUCAUUGUUCCUGAGUUUACACCAGAGUCUCUCGUAUAGACCCAUGGAGACGGUUUGGUUUAGGUAUGUUAUACAUGGUUUAGGCAUGUUAUACAUGGUUUAGGUAUGUUAUACAUGGUGGUUUAGGUAUGUUAAACUUGGUUUAGGUAUGUUAUACUUGGUUUAGGUAUGUUAUAUUUGGUUUAGGUCUGUCAUACAUGGUUUAGGUAUGUUAUACUAAAUCCAGUAGAUGUCACUGUGUCUCUGAAACAUCACUUUUCAAACGUGCCUAUUAGUUCAAGAAUGACAGUGUUUUGAGAACGUUUCCUUCUUACUGAGGCAAACCCAAAGCAAGGAUUACAUGUGGCAACAUCUGCAUCACACAUACAGGAGAGCCUUUGGAUUGCGGGAGGCAGAGAAUGUGGGAGAUGUCAGCGCUCCAAACUGUGUAUCAAAUUUUAAAUUACUUAUAUUUUUCUGUGAUUUUACUUGUUUUAUGGUUAUGGUUUGUUUUGCCCUAUAUUUCUUUUGUAUGUUUUUGGGGCUUUUAGUUAAAUUGAUUUCUUUUGUUGUGUUACGCUGUGACGGUGCUUUUAAAGGUGCUACAUAAAUAAAGUUGAUUAUUUAUUAUCGUCAUUAAGUGCUGCUGCAUGCAGGACUGUCUGUCGUCUGAAAUGGAUGGUGGUCACUGAGGGGGCUUGUUUUGGUUACAACUGGCCCCUUAGACCCACUAACUCAUCUAAAAUGUGACACAAAUCACCCCAAAAAUGCAAAGGGGUCCAACAAACAGACCCCGACGUGGCUCAGAGCGGAAGGGACGCGCUGCGUUGUGCACAGGGAUUCAAACACCGACGCCAAGGCGCCGUCCCGUUCCUCCGGGCCCGAGGCGCUCCACUGAACAGGGAACGCUGGAUCUCCCAGCAUGCAACAGGACGAUACGGGCUGAGCGGAGCUCGACUUGAAGGCACAGACAGGGAGAAUGCAUUGUGGACCACAAUGCGAUGCCUGCCGUCAUCCGACAAACAUGCCGUCUCCUAUUGUGUCAGGAGCCCCCGCGGGCCGCUGUGUAAACAUCCCCUCUGGACCCCAUCAGGACUAUAUUCAGACCCCGAGCAGGAAGUGACUUCAACAUCCACCGCAGCCUUUCCUUUCUCAGGUGGGGAACCAAGAAGGGGCAGGGGGGGGGGGGCUCCUUGAAUUCACAUUUAUUUUGUCCAAAAUCUUUUAUGCAGGCGUGACCUUUGACACCAUCGUGAGAACAUACAGAGACAAUUAUUGCCUAAACGAAUAAUAUAAUUGUCAUUUCAGCAUAUUUACCUCGAAACCAACCAACAUACUGCGCGGUGUGGACCUGUCGUGUUGGCAAACACAUUCAGCGGCGCUGAUUGCAUUAGAAGUACCAGGUUGAGCUACGGAACCCGUGGGGAGCGAUGGAGCUGGUGAAAAAAGGCCGACGUGCUUGGCUGACAGUUGUGAAAACCUUACAGGGGGAGCUACGAGGUUCAAACUGGGCCGAAGCCAAAAAGCAUUAAUGGGGCCUUAUUAAAACACACUCCCCCACAUAGACGACCGUGUAGCCCUCCAGGUUGCCCACACACUUUAGUGCAAGAUGUUUUAACUUUUAUUGUGAAUAAACCUCCUGUUUUCUCAGUAUAAACACUCCUUUCGGACAUAAUCUGUUUGUGGGAGGAAAUGAACCCUUCUUCCGCCUCCUGGUUCAGAGACAAAUCUCUUCAAAAGAAGCCAGUAGAAGUUGAAUUAUCUUUAUUUAUUGUUUUAAAAGGCCUAAAAACUUGAGAAAUUCGACUCAGAAUCCACGAGCCGUGACCACAAAGUAAAAAGAAAAGAAAACACAGAACUUGAUUAAUAGCGAGUUUAUGACUGCAAGGAAAUGCAUGAGAGUAUUAAUGUGUUUAAUUUACGCUUAAUGACUCUGGUGUGUGAGGCGCCGGCACUUGAGCAAAUUCUACAAACCUAAAACUGCACAGCUGGUUUCAAGGCGACUGCUGUUUUAUUUUUUUUCUCAACAAAGGGAGCAGUGAAAGGACAGCGACCGCCAAACACACCGCUGGGGACCAUGAAGGUAACUGGCCCUUUCAGUCUUGUUUGCUUGUGUGUGUCUGUGUGUGUCUGUGUGUGAGAGAGUGUCCUUCUGGUCUAAAAGCUAAAUAAACACACCGAAUUGGGGUCAAGGAUUCCUCAAACAGGUGCACUGGAUGCGACUCGAGCGAGAGACGGAACCUCCGUUUAAAAAGUAGCCACACAAAUGAACAGAAACCAGCCGGAAUUCAAUGAAAGCCGGCAAUCGGUACGCGUGAGUGACCACGAUGUCUCCAGGAACUUCUACGGGAACGAAGCCAGAACCUCCACCUGGAUCGUAUGCAGGGGAGAAGUAUCCAUCUGCCAUGUGUGGACCCCCGCUGUGAGGGGAGGAAGGGGGGGGCUCGGGAACAACCUGCUGCAGACAGAGACGUCAGGGAGGAUCUGCAGGGGAACUGAAAUAAAGGAGAGGAGGAAGCAACAGCAGGUGGGGCGGGAGGGAAACAACAAACACAGGGCUGGUUUUACACACACCUGCUCCACCGGCUGUCCUUCAUCAGCCGGAGGGACUAGGUUUUGGGGACGAGGUUUUGGUCCCGACUGAGGGAUUCAGUCAGAUUCGGGGAUUCCUUAAUGUAACCCCUCAGGCCCAAAGUGGCCAAGAGAGUCAGCUAGUGCAGGUUAAAGCUUUCCUAUCAAUAGAUGAAGCUCGGCAUUGAAAUAACUUGCAUGGUGAACGUUACUUAAAUAGUCUGAGACCGACGUUUGAAAAAGGUGAAAUAAUAAUGAGAUACUUGCAAUUACGAUUAAUUACCACUGCUUUAUACCUAAAUACAACUUUACUACAAUAUGUCAUAUCAAGACCCGAUUUAUGUUCAAAGCAAUGAAUCCUUUAGUAAUUACAUGUUAUACUGUUACUAUUUAUCUGUCUUGGAAUGUGCUGUCGCUUUUAAACAAAUGAACUUGGGGGAGAAAUACAACAUUGACCCCUGAAUGGUGCAUACUUAUUAUAUUAUAGUAUGUUACACCAUGCACGGAGGAGGGUUUUCGUGCCGUCUGCUCAGGUGGACAAGCUGCCUCAGACUGACAAGUGGUGACUCUCAGCACACACACACACACACAGACACACACACCAGAGACUAUGAGGUGAGACCGAGGGACUCGAUCGACGUCUCAGCUGCGAGAUAACAGUUAAUUGCCUUCAGUCCUCCUGACAAAGAUGGAGAGCGAGAGGUCGCCUAAGCCACCCGCGGCCUUCAUAACCUCGCAGCUCUGGGAAUCCUUUUCAUUUCUCUCCCUCCUUUGCUCUCUGACCCCCCUAUUCUCACACACACACACACACACACACACACACAGAGAGAGAUAAUAAAUGCCGUUACAGAGAGAAGAACUCAGACUGCCGAUUGAACUGUGAGAGCGGCUCAGACGGGCGAUGAUAAGAGCCGCUGGUGGUCAAACAGCAUCUGUACCAGCGGGAGUCUGGAUGUUUGUGCUCCUGUUUAAACUCACCCCCCCCCCAUCAAAGCUACGAUCGAGCGCCACCCACACCGAGGCCCCGCGAGCACCAACAAAAUGAGAAAAUCUGCAAUCAUCACAUUUCUGUCCGAGGAAUCAGUAUUAACGAAUCCUCUGAUGUACUCUGUGCCAAGACGUAGUCGGAUAAUUUACUUUAGUAAAAAUGGAAAUAAGUCAAUUUAAAGAAAUGAUUUACAAUUGAAAAGCACCCUUUGGACAUUUUAAAACGGUUUCUUUGCACAACCCUCAACUAUGUGAAAUUUGACAGGCGUUUUUUUGUGGUCUGCUUGGAUCAGAAAAGCUUCAAAGGGCCGGUGAGAUCUGGCUGCCCUUCCUUUGUCACAUGCAGGUUUCAUUAGAAUAAUAUGCGUCUCCACCCACAAGGAACUCAUUUUACAAACGUUCAGGAUAUUUAGCUGGCGAGCCAAUCAGAGCAGCCUGGGCUUUUCUCAGGCUUAAAGAAACAGCCGCUGUAACAUUAAAACAUUUUAACACGUUCCAGUAGAAACGCAAAACACAUGAACCAGAAAAUAAGCAUUUUAUGUUCCCUAUAAAAUGCAGAAAGUAAAAUGAUUCCAUUUCAGAAUAAUAUUUAAUGUACUUGUUAUUGACAUAGAUGGUUACCCUGCAGCCGGCUGCAACAUUAAAGUAAUGAACAUAUUAGUCCAAUAAUAUAUUAAAGUUAUUUGAGGCUAAAGUUAGAACCUUUAAUAACAUGUUGUCAACAAUCAGAGUGAAGGACAGAGUUCGAGUCUCCUCGACUCAACGAUCGCAGAAGAUCCUCAUUUUUUCACAUUUUAUCUCUCUGAGCAUCAAUACGACCAAAAGUUAUUUCUAAUAAAGUUGCCUUUGGGCGCAGCUCUCGAGCCAAUGAGCCAUGGUAUUUAGUUAAGGGCCGUUAGCAAUCAACUGCGUCCAAAACCAUGUCAGGCGCCCUCCGCGCCCGGUAGCCUCUGAUGGCGCCUUUUCAUGUGAGCCGCUUCAUUCGUCAGGCUGAUAAAUCCCUGAGCACAGACUGACAGGCUCUCCGGGAAGACGGAUGGGCCUGGGGAGACUUGUUAAAAGGGGAGUGAGGGGGGGGGGGCUCGCUGCGCCCCUUUUGGCGGGGAGUGGGCGGCGGGUUUGUGUGGCCGUGGAGGUCAACGUCUCACACACGAGCGGCCUUUAAAUCUCCCCGCUGGUCACAGAGCGCCAAACUGUUGUUUCCGAGAGCAGAAAGCUGAAGUCAGAUUAAUGGGCCUGCAGACGCGGGGUUCUCCGUGUCAGCUCUUCGUCACCCCUUCUUUGGGGUUUUUUUGUUUUUUCAGUGUAUACGUUACAUGCUGGGAAACGGUGCAGGUGGCGCCGUUGACGGAGACCCAAGGCGGCGACUAAGAGGGGAGAGGCGGGACUAGAAAAACACCAAUAUCUGCAUCCGCGGAGCGGGGAAACGCAGGCAUCGGACCCCCUUUUGUGUCCUUGAAUGCAACCAAAUCCAGACAGUGCGGCGGAGGAACAAUUGAGUUUGUUUUUCUUGAGUUACAUUCAAAAAAUAAGCUGGCGGUUGGGCCGACCAGCCCGUCCGCGUACCUCAUGUGGUGAGUUGCAGACGUAGUGUUGUAUGUAUCCUGCGUGGAAACGUUCCCCCACUGCAGAAAAAACACCUUUUCACUGUUAGUGGAAGAGCUGCAGGCAAUGUUAUGCCCCCCGUCUCCUCAACGGCCUUUCCUACAUCAUAGAUUUCUAAUUCUACUGCUGCUGCACCGGAGGGGGUGGGGGUCCGAGUCCACCCUUCCCUCCUGUCCAUCUCCUCAUCUAUCGGCUCACAUAUUAUUGUAGCAGGAGCGAAGGGAAGCACCCGUCAACCGGAAGUUCUGCUUCUGGAGAUUGAGCCAGUAGCUAAACGGCGCUUCCUGUCUCCCACCCCUCGUUCCCCCGUCUUAUGUUGCCUAAAGAACCAUUGCAUCAACAUUAAAAGUCAGAUUAAAGCCGAAUGCUUUUGUAACCUGUGUUGAAGAACCACCAAGUCAUUCAAGCUGCAGAACACGGAUCAUAGCGAAGGAAGAAGAACGUGUAUUUUGCAUUGUGGGAACAGCUUAUGUUUUUGAUAAAAGCAGUCGUCUGCACGGUGAGCGUUUACAGACUUCUGCAAACCGGCGAACCCCGAAGUGAGACAAAAAACGUCUCCGUCUCUGCUGAAGACAUUUUGCCCUCACCCAACCCAGUCCCCGCGGGCAGAACGCCGUACGAAUCGCAGGUCGUAGGUCACAGCAGGUUUGCAUUGAAUCAAGCGCAAAGUACACCCCGACACAUGUUACAGAUGUAUCCUCCACUUCUCAACACCGAUACAUCUACGUUUACGUCAAGGGACGGAGGAGAAACUUAAGUUCGGGCCAAACUGGGCGGAUAAUCACAACCAGGCCGAGCGAAAGGGCUCGACGCAGCGGCGAUCAAAGAGGGGCAACAAGUGGACGACGACGCUCUCUUGAUGUUAAACAGCGGGCUUAACCCAACAGAUGUUGCGUAGAUAAAAGGUCGGAGCGGCAAAUCUGCUUUUGUAAGCGUCGGUCAGGGUGUGGAGCUAGGUGGGGGUG